GCUUCUGCAACAAAUAUGGUGCUGUUGGCAGCCGCCGUGUGCACGAAGGCAGGGAAGGCCAUCGUGUCCCGGCAGUUCGUGGAGAUGACUCGCACCCGCAUCGAGGGGCUGCUGGCAGCAUUCCCAAAGCUGAUGAACACGGGGAAGCAGCACACGUUUGUAGAGACGGAGAGCGUGCGAUAUGUCUACCAGCCCAUGGAGAAGCUCUACAUGGUGCUGAUUACCACCAAAAACAGCAACAUCCUGGAAGACCUGGAAACACUCCGACUCUUCUCUAGAGUGAUCCCUGAAUAUUGUCGAGCUCUGGAAGAGAAUGAGAUCUCAGAACACUGCUUUGACCUAAUCUUUGCCUUUGAUGAAAUUGUCGCCCUGGGCUACCGUGAGAAUGUAAACUUGGCACAAAUUCGGACCUUCACUGAAAUGGACUCACAUGAGGAAAAGGUCUUUCGGGCAGUCAGAGAGACGCAGGAGCGCGAAGCGAAAGCCGAGAUGCGCCGUAAGGCGAAGGAGCUGCAGCAGGCCAGGAGGGAUGCAGAGAGACACGGCAAGAAGGCACCAGGCUUUGGGGGCUUCGGCAGCUCGGCCGUGUCUGGGGGCGUGACAGCAAUGAUCACAGAGACCAUCAUUGAGACUGAGAAGCCCAAAGUGGCACCAGCUCCAGCCAGGCCUUCAGGUCCCAGUAAAGCCUUGAAACUCGGUGCUAAAGGGAAGGAGGUGGACAACUUCGUGGACAAGCUGAAAUUGGAAGGAGAAAAUAUCAUGACUUCUGUAGGCAAGCGCUCUGUAGAAGCAGCCAAAGUUCUUGCUCCUCCCAUUAACAUGGAGAGCGUGCACAUGAAAAUAGAGGAGAAAAUCUCCUUGACUUGUGGCCGUGAUGGAGGGUUGCAGAACAUGGAGCUGCAUGGCAUGAUCAUGCUGCACAUCUCUGAUGAAAAGUUUGCACGGAUUCGCCUGCAUGUAGAAAAUGAAGACAAGAGGGGAGUGCAGCUACAGACUCACCCAAACGUGGACAAGAAGCUCUUCACUACAGAGUCACAGAUCGGUUUGAAGAACCCAGAGAAGUCAUUCCCUAUUAACAGCGACGUGGGCGUGCUGAAGUGGAGGUUGCAGACUACAGAAGAGUCCUUCAUUCCAUUGACAAUUAACUGCUGGCCGUCAGAGAGUGGGAACAAUUGUGAUAUUAACAUUGAAUAUGAGUUGCAAGAAGAGAGCCUAGAGCUGAAUGAUGUGAUCAUCACCAUCCCCUUGCCGUCUGGUGUUGGUGCCCCAGUGAUUGGGGAGAUUGAUGGUGAGUAUCGCCACGACAGCCGGAGAAACCUCCUUGAGUGGUGCCUGCCAGUGAUAGAUGCCAAAAACAAGAGCGGUAGCCUGGAGUUCAGCAUAGCAGGGCAGCCAAACGACUUCUUCCCAGUGCAGGUCUCCUUCAUCUCCAAAAAGAACUAUUGCAACAUACAGGUUACCAAAGUGACCCAGGUAGACGGGAACAGUCCUGUAAGGUUUUCCACUGAAACCACCUUCCUGGUGGACAAGUACGAAAUCCUGUAAUGCCAGAUGUGGUGAUGCACAAUGGAAGAAAUUUUUAAAUUAAAAAAAAACGAGGCCGACGUUUAUUCUGAAUGUUGGGAAUGCCACAGCCCCCUCUGCUAAGACACGUGGCUCUGUCUGCCAUCUACAGUGUUCCUGGGUCACAGACAUUUUUUGCAGAGAAGUGAUGUGCUCAUGGGGGGAAAAGGCCACAAAUUUCUUUGGCAGAUUUUUACCGACUGGCAAAAAAGCAAGAUCUCCGCAAAGAGUCUGAUUUUGACAUGCCCCCCGAGAUGCUCAGAGCUCAGCCCAGAGCCAACCAGACAUCGCUCUCUUCUCUCCUGAAGCAUCACAUGCUGUUCCAUUGUUGGUGCUGCCAUUUUAAUUUCUCCUUGGCCUCUGAUUCUCAUUCGUGGGGCCACCUGCUGGUCCUGACCCUUCCAUCUGGUGGAAGCUGAGCAAUUUGACCUUGGCCUCAGAGGUGGGGGGGUUAUGGCAGGGGCAUGGGGUGGGGAAGAGGGACCCAGGGGUUCAGUCCUUUUGCCCCACAGUUACUGCUGUUCCUCCAGCUCUGCUGUGUGGCAGUGGCCCAGCUCCAGUCUGGUUCCUGCUGCAGCAGGGAGAGUGUCCAGUGGGGACUGUGUCCUUGCUGUCUCCACAGGCCAGGUUUUGGAGGAAGUUUAGUUUGGUUAGAACUGGCUGUAUAUCCUUUGCAAGGCUGUUUUGGUGUCUGGGGAGGCUGAGGGCUUUGCCUGCCUGGGUGAAAAGAGCUGUAGAGCCUGGUUGACUUACUUGGCCUGUGUGUCAGGACCUGUCUCAAACCAGCAUUGGUUCAGCACUGGCAGGUGUAGGAGAAGGAAAUGCUGGUUUCCGGGUAAUGUGGGGGCUGAUCCGAGCCGUUUCUCCUACUGCAGCCUCACUAGUGUUAUUUGCCUCAUCUCGGAGACCUGUGCUCCCCUCGCAACUCAUCUCACCUGCAUGGCUGGGGCCUGUCAUAAGGGUCACCUGUCCCUGGGCACACCUCACCCAGACAGCCCGAGUGCAGGUGGAAGGCAACAGCCCUAAAGUGUGUGUACUGUGCUCUGUGAGAGACAGCCAGCCUGUCACGGGCCCCUGGGGUCCUCUGCCAAAGAAGUUCCUGGUCUCUCCUCUGUUGGCAGCACCUGAGAAGAAAUCAACCCUGGUCCUGUCCUGAAAGGGCAAAGCCCUCUCCCCUAGUAAAGUAGGCAAUGAAUCCUAUUAACCCAGUCUUGUUCCAGAGCUGCUUGUCUGUAUGAUUUUUAAAAUGGAGUCAAAGUUAGUUCAAGCAUCCAAGGAGCUUUUUUUUUUUUUCCUUAUAUUCAUUGGAGGGUGAUAUUUAAACCGAGCCGAGGUCCCCACUUUUUGUAACCCUGUAUGAUCCUGGCCUAGGGAAUAGAGCACAUUCCAGUGUACACAGAGAAUUCUGAGUCUUUAAUCAAAUAAAGUACUGUUAAAGGA